AUUGAACGCUGGCGGCAGGCCUAACACAUGCAAGUCGAACGGUAACAGGAAGACGCUUGCUUCUUUGCUGACGAGUGGCGGACGGGUGAGUAAUGUCUGGGAAACUGCCUGAUGGAGGGGGAUAACUACUGGAAACGGUAGCUAAUACCGCAUAACGUCGCAAGACCAAAGAGGGGGACCUUCGGGCCUCUUGCCAUCGGAUGUGCCCAGAUGGGUUUAGCUAGUAGGUGGGGUAACGGCUCACCUAGUCGACGAGCCCUAGCUGGUCUGAGAGGAUGACCAGAAAAAGAGGAAGUGAGAAACGGUAAAGACACCUACGGGAGGCAGCAGAGGGGAAUAUUGCAAAAAGGGCGAAAGACUGAGGCAGACAUGCCGGGUGUAUGAAGAAGGCCUUCGGGUUGUAAAGUACUUUCAGCGGGGAGGAAGGGAGUAAAGUUAAUACCUUUACUCAUUGACGUUACCAGAAGAAGAAGCACCGGCUAACUCCGU
rnacentral:rRNA from 1 species